CCAGACUCCUACGGGAGGCAGCAGUGGGGGAUAUUGCACAAUGGGGGAAACCCUGAUGCAGCGACGCCGCGUGGGCGAAGAAGUAUUUCGGUAUGUAAAGCCCUAUCAGCAGGGAAGAAGAAAUGACGGUACCUGAGUAAGAAGCACCGGCUAAAUACGUGCCAGCAGCCGCGGUAAUACGUAUGGUGCAAGCGUUAUCCGGAUUUACUGGGUGUAAAGGGAGCGCAGGCGGCACGGCAAGCCUGAUGUGAAAGCCCGGGGCCCAACCCCGGGACUGCCCUUGGAACUGCAUGGCUGGAGUGCGGGAGGGGCAGGCGGAAUUCCUGGUGUAGCGGUGAAAUGCGUAGAUAUCAGGAGGAACACCGGCGGCGAAGGCGGCCUGCUGGACCGCGACUGACGUUGAGGCUCGAAAGCGUGGGGAGCGAACAGGAUUAGAUACCCGUGUACG
rnacentral:rRNA from 1 species